rnacentral:rRNA from 1 species
AUUUUCCGGUUGAUCCUGCCGGACCCUACUGCUAUCGGGGUGGGGCUAAGACAUGCGAGUCGAACGUUUCACAGCCAUGAGUGAAACGUGGCAUACGGCUCAGUAACACGUGGCUGACCUACCCUCGAGACGGAAACAACCCCGGGAAACUGGGGCUAAUCUCCGAUAGGUGAAGACUCCUUGAAUGGAUCUUCGCCCAAAAAGUGUUGGAAUCAUGCUUUCCAGCAUUGCUCGAGGAUGGAGCCGCGGCCGAUCAGGUAGUUGGUGAGGUAACGGCUCACCAAGCCUAUAACCGGUACGGGCCGUGGGAGCGGGAGCCCGGAGAUGGGAACUGAGACAAGGUCCCAGGCCCUACGGGGCGCAGCAGUCGCGAAAACUCCGCAAUGCACGAAAGUGUGACGGGGCUACCCCGAGUGCCGUCCGCUGAGGAUGGCUUUUCUCUGCUGUAAGGAGGCGGAGGAAUAAGGAGGGGGCAAGUCUGGUGUCAGCCGCCGCGGUAAUACCAGCUCUCCGAGUGGUAGGGAUGAUUAUUGGGCUUAAAGCGUGCGUAGCUGGCCUUUCAAGUCUCUCGUUAAAUCCAGCGAUUCAAUCGUUGGACUGCGGGAGAUACUGUUAGGCUAGGGGGCGGGAGAAGUCGACGGUAUUCCCGGAGUAGGGGUAAAAUCCUAUAAUCCCGGGAAGACCACCAGUGGCGUAGGCGGUCGGCUAGCACGCGCCCGACGGUGAGGGACGAAAGCUGGGGGAGCGAACCGGAUUAGAUACCCGGGUAGUCCCAGCUGUAAACGAUGCGGACUAGGUGUUGGAGCGGCUACGAGCCGCUUCAGUGCCGCAGGGAAGCCAUUAAGUCCGCCGCCUGGGGAGUACGGCCGCAAGGCUGAAACUUAAAGGAAUUGGCGGGGGAGCACCACAAGGGGUGAAGCUUGCGGUUUAAUUGGAGUCAACGCCGGAAAU